CCGAGGUUGCUGCACGCGGCCAGUGAUUCGAGCGGGCCCUCGCGGAUGCUCUAGAUUAGAGUUGAUCCUGGCUCAGGAUGAACGCUGGCGGCGUGCCUAACACAUGCAAGUCGAACGGAAACCAAGCGCUUCGGAGACUUCGGUCAAUGUUUGUUUGGUUUUAGUGGCGGACGGGUGAGUAACGCGUGGAUAACCUGCCAUAUACAGGGGGAUAACAGUUAGAAAUGACUGCUAAUACCGUAUAAGCGCACAGUCUCGCAUGGGACAGUGUGAAAAACUCCGGUGGUAUAUGAUGGAUCCGCUUUUUGAUAGCCAGUUGGCGGGGUAACGGCCCAUUAAAGCGACGAUCAGUAGCCGGCCUGAGAGGGUGAACGGCCACAUUGGGACUGAGACACGGCCCAUACUCCUACGGGAGGCAGCAGUAGGGAAUUUUGCGCAAUGGGCGAAAGCCUGACGCAGCAACGCCGCGUGAGUGAUGAAGCCCCUCGGGGUGUAAAACUCUGUCAGUAGGGACAAAUUCUGAUGGUACCUACAGAGGAAGCAUCGGCUAACUACGUGCCAGCAGCCGCGGUAAGACGUAGGAUGCAGCGUUGUCCCGGAAUUAUUGGGCGUAAAGAGUUCGUAGUGCAUGUUAGUCUAGUGUUAAGCCGAGGCUCACUUCCGUUUCGCACUGGGAACUUGGCAGCCUAAAUGGCGGUAAGAGGCAAGGGGAAAUCCUGGGGGGGGAUCG
rnacentral:rRNA from 1 species